rnacentral:rRNA from 1 species
GGUUGAUCCUGCCAGUAGUCAUAUGCUUGUCUCAAAGAUUAAGCCAUGCAUGUCUCAGUACAAGCCAAAUUAAGGUGAAACCGCGAAAGGCUCAUUAAAUCAGUUAUGGUUCCUUAGAUCGUACCCACAAUUACUUGGAUAACUGUGGUAAUUCUAGAGCUAAUACAUGCAAACAGAGCUCCGACCGGAGACGGAAGGAGUGCUUUUAUUAGAUCAAAACCAAUCGGUAGCGAGUUCGCUCGUCAUCGUACAACUUGGUGACUCUGAAUAACUUUACGCUGAUCGCACGGUCUUCGCACCGGCGACGCAUCUUUCAAAUGUCUGCCUUAUCAACUGUCGAUGGUAGGUUCUGCGCCUACCAUGGUCGUAACGGGUAACGGGGAAUCAGGGUUCGAUUCCGGAGAGGGAGCCUGAGAAACGGCUACCACAUCCAAGGAAGGCAGCAGGCGCGCAAAUUACCCACUCCCGGCACGGGGAGGUAGUGACGAAAAAUAACGAUACGGGACUCAUCCGAGGCCCCGUAAUCGGAAUGAGUACACUCUAAACCCUUUAACGAGGAUCAAUUGGAGGGCAAGUCUGGUGCCAGCAGCCGCGG